rnacentral:lncRNA from 1 species
GAGCGAGCGGCGGGUGUCCCUGAGAGGCCACCUUUCGACCUUCGAGGGCCAGGAGGAUACGGGGAGGUGGCCGGAGGGAGUUCCCGAACACAGGUCUUCCUGUUCCCGCCGAGCAGGUGUUGGCGGUGCCAGGCCCGGCCUGGCGGGCCCGGGCUGGCAGCCAAAUACCCAGCGUCUGUGCUCGGGACGGGAGUGUUCGUCCAGGACGUGCAGCUCCGGAGCCUGCGCGGGCGACCUUGACCACCUUUGUCGGCUGUUUCCCCCUGAGGGAAGUAUACCUGUCCUGCCAGCCUUGGUCUCUGGCAGGGAAGGUCCUUCCAACAGAGAGGGAAUUGCUUAGAAUUGACUCAACACUGCCUCCUUGCUGAAUGGAUAAUUCAAGCAAACAACUCAAGAGCUGGAUGCUGCCCAGACAGAAGUCCUCCUAGCAUCUUUCUUCUGCCUUCCCCUGCUCCUGUCCCUGAAACCUUUUCUUCAAAAGAAGUGGAAAAGAGGAACUGGGAACCCAUAUAGCAACAGCAUCACCUGGAAUGAAUUCCUUUAGAACAUACUGUCUUGGAAAUCUGAAGCCUGCAGGGCUGGACAGGCAAGAAGAGCAGUGAGCACUGCAUGAACCUGCAUGUACUCCGAAAUAUUUUUCAAAUGGAAAAGAAAACAGAGAACACAAUUUUCAAAAUAUCUAGAGCCCUCCAAGAAGUCUUUGUAGAGAUCUAUAAAAUCUCAAGGCAAUUUAAAGAAUAGAAAAAUGUUUUAGAAACACUAUUCUCUCCACAUCCUGGGGCAGCAGCCUUCUCCAAAGAAACAGAAAGAAGGAAAUGGAUUGCCUUAGCAAAAAAACAAAUGAAGACACUCCAAAUAACAGAAGAAUGGGAAGGCUACAGACCUUGAAGUCAGAAGAAAAUUUCCUCUCCUUGCCCCGUUUCUCCUUAAAUGGAUCACCAGUACAGUCUCUUACUUCUAGAGCCAUGUUAAGCUUUCUUCCCCAAAGUUGUAAUGUCCUUCUUUUGGUUGUGUCGUGUCCUAAAAUCCUACUCUUUGGUACAAGAUGAAGGUAUAUGAAGAGAUAAUGAAGGAAACAAAUUCAAUGUGUUUGCCAAGAACACAGUCUUUUAAAUAACUCUUAAAGGGUUCGUUUAAAACAGUGUAAUAAAUUGUGGUAAUCUAGUACACAAAGCUAGUAGGAACCUCGUUUAUUAAUAAUAUUUCAACAUUGAGCAGUAGAGGGCAGCACUAUCCUUCUUUUGCAAAAUGUUGAGCACUCUUGAGAAGGAAAAUAAAGGCAAAGCUCCUGA